rnacentral:tRNA from 1 species
GGCGGGGUUCCCGAGCGGUCAAAGGGGACGCGCUGUAAACGCGUUGGCUCUGCCUUCGCAGGUUCGAAUCCUGCCCCCGCCACCU